UGGGGUCUUCAAAGUAAUGCUUUUCAUUUCAUGGUCAUGAUUGCCACCUGCAUCGCGCUUCAUGUUUGCCCAACGUAGAAUAAAACAAAGCUUCCUGUUGGAGUGUUUGGCCGUGAAGUUGGUAAAGAUGAACCAGUUUGAUCGAUAAAUGUGCAAUAUUCUUCACUAGCGUUCAUUUCUUCAAACAAAAUGGCAAAGAGAGAAGACAAUGACCAUGAUUUCGGGAUAUCCGUUCCACCUUUAGUAGACUACUUAAAGACCAUUUUAAGGGAAUAUAGUGACGGCCAGAUCAUAAAGG